GAUGAACGCUAGCUACAGGCUUAACACAUGCAAGUCGAGGGACCGGCGCACGGGUGAGUAACACGUAUCCAACCUGCCCUUUAAUCGGGGAUAGCCUUUCGAAAGAAAGAUUAAUACCCGAUAUAAAGGAUGGGGAUACGUUCCAGGAGGUUGUUGGUGAGGUAACGGCUCACCAAGGCUUCGAUGGAGAGGGGUUCUGAGAGGAAGGUCCCCCACAUUCGAACAGGGCCACGGUCCACACUCGGACUGGAGGCAGCAGGGAGAAAUAUUGGUCAAUGGGCGCUAGCCUGAAGCAGCGAAGUAGCGGGAAGGAUGAAGGCUUAUGGGUCGUAAACUUCUUUUAUAUAAGAAUGUGUAUUAUAUGGAUAAGGAUCGGGUAACUCCGUGCCAGCAGCCGCGGUAAGAC
rnacentral:rRNA from 1 species